rnacentral:rRNA from 1 species
CAUGUCCUCUGGAUUAGAGUUUGAUCCUGGCUCGGGACGAACGCUGGCGGCGUGUCUCACCAUGCAAGUCGAGCGAGGACGGGGUCUUCGGACUUCGAGCCGAGCGGCGGAUGGGGUGAGUUACACGUGAGCAACCUAUUCCUGUGCGGGGGACAACCCGGGGAAAACUCGGGCUAAUACCGCAUGGACGGACCUUUCGCAUGGAGGGUUCGGGAAAGGCGGCCUCCUUAGCAUCGCUCCCUUGCGGGGAGGGGCUCGCGGCCUAUCAGCUAGUUGGCGGGGUAAU